rnacentral:rRNA from 1 species
AUUGAACGCUGGCGGCAGGCCUAACACAUGCAAGUCGAACGAGUGGCGGACGGGUGAGUAAUGUCUGGGAAUCUGCCCUAUGGAGGGGGAUAACUACGGGAAACGGUAGCUAAUACCGCAUACCAUCGGAUGUGCCCAUAUGGGAUUAGCUAGUAGGUGGGGUAAAGGCUCACCUAGGCGACGAUCCCUAGCUGGUCUGAGAGGAUGACCAGCCACACUGGAACGGAGACACGGCCCAGACUCCUACGGGAGGCAGCAGUGGGGAAUAUUGCACAAUGGGCGCAAGCCUGAUACAGCCAUGCCGCGUGUAUGAAGAAGGCCUUCGGGUUGUAAAGUACUUUCAGCGGGGAGGCGUUACCCGCAGAAGAAGCACCGGCUAACUCCGUGCCAGCAGCCGCGGUAAUUC